rnacentral:miRNA from 1 species
UGCCCUAUACCUCAGUCGCUGA